ensembl:lncRNA
CUGCCAUAUAUAUUAGUCCUAUAACAGAAGAUGUGAAUGACCACAUAGAAGAGAUAGUGGUUAAUUUUGACUGGGUGAUUAGGAACUACUUUCCAGAGUAGGGUCCAUUUGAAUUAUUUUGACAAGCUGAAGAAGAAAGGAGGAAUAAAAGCCUUGAGUCUCUUGUUACACUUCAGAAAUUCAGUCUAUAGAAAAAUGGAGGAAGGCACCAUCUUCCCUCCUACGUGCCUUCGCUCUUCUCGGCAAAAGGAGGCUGGUGUCUCCUUCCAGCCCACCAUCCGUGCCCUCCUGUCCACCCCGAGCCAUCUUCGAUCCAUCCUCUUGCCAGUCGGAUCGCCCCAGUGCCCUGAGGCCGCUUCACAGAAUCUCAGUUCCCUGACUAAGGAUUUAACCCAGGCCAUGGCAGUGAAAAUGCCAAAUGGUAAUCACUGGACCACCAGACAAAGAAUGUUACUUGCCAUAUCAGCAAAUAACGGUUGUUUCCGUGAUCAAGCCGUCAGCCAUUGCCACUGGUAUGAUAACUUGCACUUACUUCCAUUAAGGGAUCUUCCAGAGCCCCUGUAUCAGUCUAGCAGGUCUCGUUGGAAGCUUCCAGCUCUUCAGAUGCUGAACGCAGUCCAUGGCUCAGUCACCGACCCCUCACUAUUUUCCUUUCAUAAUAAAGUGUCGAAUUUUUAUGUUUAAGCUAUGUUUUAUUAGGAGCUUCCUGAGCUUUCUUUCCAUGGAAUUUCUGUUUCCACUUCUG